rnacentral:lncRNA from 1 species
GUCAGGGUUGGGCAGCAGCCAAAGCUGCCACCAGUCUCCCUUCCCCAGCUGCCGGCGGACUCUGGACAGGGAGCCGGCAGCCCCAGGAAGCCUUCGUGGUGGAGACCCAGAGCCAGACACCGGCCCUCACAUCACCUCCCCUCCUGCUCGGCUGCCCUCAUUCUUUGGAUCCCUAGGCUGACACUCCCGCCGGCCCUUCAUCUUCCCUUACUGAUCCCAGAACGAGGGACGGAGCGAGCACCUCCACGCUACAAAUCCAGCCCCGUGUCCUGCAGAUGCAGCGGUCCUGGCUGCAGGUUUGGGGGAGUCCAGCGGGGAGGCCCCCGGGGCCAGCAGAGCCUCCCAGAGACGCCGCCCCCCCCCCCCACUGGCCGGUGCCAGCACGUAGCCCGAGCCCCGCUUGUCCAGACCCGGGGCUCCUCACACCGCCUUCUCAGGGGCAGACGCACACCGCCCACGUCCCGUGGGGGUGACUCGGGCUGUACUUGGGCCCGGGCUCCGAGCCCAGCAUCGCCCCACCCCCCCCCCCCGAGAAGAGAAGGGAGGCUCUUGGCCUCCAGAGCCCUGCCGCAAACCCCGGACCCGAGCCCGGCUUCCCAUCUACGAAGCGGAGGAAGGAACGCCCGCCUGGCGAGACCGUUGGCAACACUGGGUGCCAUAUUCACGCGACGCGUUCAGCAGAGUCUGAACUUCCGGGGAGAGGUCCCAACAGAAGGGUCUGUCGCUGAAACCGAGCUCAAAUUACUGGGCUCAGAGGAAAGAACCAUAGGCUCUGCUGGCUGGAAGGAACCCCAGAGGUUCAUCGAUGGCAAGCUCCAGUCUCUAAAUUCAGCUCACUCCAGAAAUAACAGCCUCUACCCACUCCCAAGCGUGGGAAGAGAUCAGGAACAGCAUUUCUGAAACUUCAAGGUACAUACGAAUCUCCCAGGGAUCUUGUCAAACAGAUCCUGAGUCCGUAGGUCUGUCGGGGCAAGGGGGAGGUGGGGUGGGGGUUCUGCCUCUCUAACAAUCUCCCAGGUGAUGCACGGAUGCUGGUGGCUCCACAGAAACACUG